rnacentral:rRNA from 1 species
AGAGUUUGAUCCUGGCUCAGAUUGAACGCUGGCGGCAUGCCUAACACAUGCAAGUCGAGCGGUAAAGAGAAGCUUGCUUCUCUUGAGAGCGGCGGACGGGUGAGUAAUGCCUAGGAAUCUGCCUGGUAGUGGGGGAUAACGUUCGGAAACGGACGCUAAUACCGCAUACGUCCUACGGGAGAAAGCGGGGGACCUUCGGGCCUUGCGCUAUCAGAUGAGCCUAUGUCGGAUUAGCUAGUUGGUGAGGUAAUGGCUCACCAAGGCGACGAUCCGUAACUGGUCUGAGAGGAUGAUCAGUCACACUGGAACUGAGACACGGUCCAGACUCCUACGGGAGGCAGCAGUGGGGAAUUUGGACAAUGGGCGAAAGCCUGAUCCAGCCAUGCCGCGUGUGUGAAGAAGGUCUUCGGAUUGUAAAGCACUUUAAGUUGGGAGGAAGGGCCAUUACCUAAUACGUGAUGGUUUUGACGUUACCGACAGAAUAAGCACCGGCUAACUCUGUGCCAGCAGCCGCGGUAAUACAGAGGGUGCAAGCGUUAAUCGGAAUUACUGGGCGUAAAGCGCGCGUAGGUGGUUUGUUAAGUUGAAUGUGAAAUCCCCGGGCUCAACCUGGGAACUGCAUUCGAGACUGACUGACUAAAGUAUGGUAAAGGGUGGUGAAAUCUCCUGUGUACCGUUGAAUGCGUAAAUUAGGAAGGAAACCAUUGCCAAGGCGACCCCUGGACUGAACUGACCUGAGGUGC